ensembl:snoRNA
AGGCAUUGCCUUGGAACCUCUGUGUGUCUGGCCCGUGGCCUCAGGGGUCUAUGGCACUGCUAGAGCAGACCCAGCUUGUUCAGAUCCGGGACUGCUUAGUGCCACCUUAGCGAUUCCUUGGCAGCAAGCAACAUGC